rnacentral:rRNA from 1 species
GCAGCCGCGGUAAUACAGAGGUCUCAAGCGUUGUUCGGAAUCACUGGGCGUAAAGGGUACGUAGGCUGCGAAGUAAGUCGUGCGUGAAAGGCAGGGGCUCAACCUCUGGAGUGCGCGUGAUACUGCUUUGCUAGAGUAAUGGAGGGGGAACUGGAAUUCUUGGUGUAGCAGUGAAAUGCGUAGAUAUCAAGAAGAAGACUCGUGGCGAAGGCGAGUUCCUGGACAUUUACUGACGCUGAGGUACGAAGGCUAGGGUAGCGAAAGGGAUUAGAUACCCC